UCAGCCUAUGUAAUCCUGGCAGAUUCUUUCUCUAUUUCAGAAUGGGACAACAGAAAAAGUGACUGGAGAGGAAGAGGAAGAAGAGGAGAUGGCUGAAGAUAUAGAAGACUUAGAUCACUAUGAGAUGAAGGAAGAAGAGCCUGUUAGUGGGAAAAAGUCAGAGGAUGGUGGACUUGAAAAAGAAAAUUUGGCAAUAUUAGAAAAAAUUAGGAAGACUCAGAGGCAAGACCAUUUAAAUGUGGCUGGAGCAGUGCCUACUGAAUGGAAUGGGUCAUGAUGCAAAUGAAUGCCACCUUAGUUGAAGGCAAAGCCGGAAUGCAGUUUGGAGCA